rnacentral:rRNA from 1 species
AUUGAACGCUGGCGGCAGGCUUAACACAUGCAAGUCGAGCGAGCGGCGGACGGGUGAGUAAUGUCUGGGAAACUGCCUGAAGGAGGGGGAUAACUACUGGAAACGGUAGCUAAUACCGCAUACCAUCAGAUUUGCCCAGAUGGGUUUAGCUAGUAGGUGGGGUAAUGGCUCACCUAGGCGACGACCCGUAGCUGGUCUGUGAGGAUGACCAGCAAACCUGGACCUGAGACAAGGGCCAGAUGCUUCCGGGAGGCAGCCGUGGGGAAUAUUGCAACAUGGGGGCAAGUCUGCUACAGGCAGGCCGCGUGUGUGAAGAAUGCCUUCGGGUUGUAAAGCACGUUGCGCGAGGAGGCGUUACUCGCAGAAGAAGCACCGGCGAACUCCGUGCCAGCCGCCGAGGUAAUAC